UGGGGGAUAUUGCACAAUGGGCGAAAGCCUGAUGCAGCGACGCCGCGUGGGGGAUGAAGGCCUUCGGGUUGUAAACUUCUUUUGCUCUGAACAAGGCGCACCAUGGGGUGUGUUGAGUGUAGGGGUUGAUUAGCGCGGCUAACUACGUGCCAGCAGCCGCGGUAAUACGUAGGGCGCGAGCGUUGUCCGGAAUUAUUGGGCGUAAAGGGCUUGUAGGUGGCUGGUUGCGUCUGUCGUGAAAGCUCAUGGCUUAACUGUGGGUUUGCGGUGGGUACGGGCUGGCUUGAGUGCAGUAGGGGAGGCUGGAAUUCCUGGUGUAGCGGUGGAAUGCGCAGAUAUCAGGAGGAAUACCGGUGGCGAAGGCGGGUCUCUGGGCUGUUACUGACACUGAGGAGCGAAAGCAUGGGGAGCGAACAGG
rnacentral:rRNA from 1 species